ACACGCACGGCGUCUGGUACAGUGGAUUGCACCUUGUCAAAACAACACGGAGGCGAGCAUGCAUGCUCCUGGAAUGACUCCCGCAGGAUAGGUCGCUGGCGCAUCGCACAACUGCACCAAAAUGCCUGUUUGGUCAGUGCAGACUGAAGAAUCAACAAUGAUAUAGACUAUGGGUUUUAUCGCAGAUAGGCUAUAAAGUUGAUCAAUGCUAUAUCCACCUCAUUCUAUUAUAAGCAACACGAUCAGGAGAAGGAACGAUGUUGGAUGGACUCCGUCGGCGGCACGGCUCUCGCCCCUCCCCCCGGCCCCUGUCACUCAACUUCACCACCUUCUCAGCCCCGCCCCCAAGCCAUGAUGUGGACAAUAGCGAUCAUCCAAUCAGGAGAACUCUACACAGGCUGAAGUUGAUGAGCUCUCCCAGUCUUAGUGAGCUAGGAAAGAGUGAGAAGGGAUCACCGGAGGAGAGAGGAGAGAAACAGAAGAGGGCUGGGGCCAACUCUACCUGGAACAGCAUCCACAAUGCUGUCAUUGCCGUCUUCCAGAAGAAAGGUCUGGCUGACAAUGAACUCUAUGUCCUCAACGAAGGUGUCAGGCACCUAUUGAAAACAGAGCUGGGGUCGUUUUUCACAGAAUACCUCCAGAACCAGUUGCUGACAAAGGGCAUGGUCAUUCUCCGGGACAAAAUAAGAUUCUACGAAGGUCAGAAGUUACUGGACUCUCUGGCAGAGACAUGGGACUUUUUCUUCUGUGAUGUUCUCAACAUGCUACAGGCCAUCUUUCACCCAGUACAGGGUAAGGAGCCCAGUGUGAGACAGCUGGCUCUGCUCCAUUUCAGGAACACCAUAGUUCUGAGUGUGAAGCUGGAGGAUGCUCUGUCUCGGCCUCGCGCCCGCAUUCCCCCCUCCGUCACGCAAAUGCUGCUUAUACUGCAGGGUGUCCAUGAGUCGCGGGGUGUGAGUGAGGACUACCUGCGUCUGGAGUCUCUGGUCCAGAGUGUGAUCUCUCCUUACCUGGGCACCCACGGCCUCUACUCUGGAGACGGCAGCGUGGCACAUUGCUCCUGUGUGCUAGAGAAUCGUUUCCAGUGGUGCUGGCCUAAGCAGCCUGUAGACCAGCCGUCUAAGAACCCUGUGGUUCGUUCUAAGAGUUACAACAUCCCUCUCCUCCUGACGCCCGUGGCGGAGUACGACCCUGAUGCCAGCUCGGUGGGCAGCGGGGGCAUCCGACGCCACUCUGCCUGUGAGAUCAUCUCCUGCCUAGAGGAACAAGGCCUGGCCUACACCGACAUUGCCUCUGGAAUUGACCCAUCCACCUCCAGCGCCUCUGCUAACAGGCUCUGUGUGGUUCCACAGUCCACAGGAACUAUGGAGUCUCCUCUCCUCUCCCCCUUAAUCCCCCCUCUCCACUCCCCAGGACCCCUCUACAGGACGGAGGUAACAAUGACCCUCACAGACAUGGUCAAUGGUGCCUCCUCCUCUCCCCCCAGUGGAUCUUCCAGCCCAGAGACCAUCAUUGGACAGGUGCUGGAGUCCCUGGACACAGAUUUAGAUGGAAUAUUCAUAGAAUUCCCACCCUGCUGCUCGGAGUCAGUGGGAUAUGGUCAGGAGAGCAGGCAGAGCACUGUGUAGAGAGGGAAUCAUGGGUAGAAGGUGCGCCUUGGGCACACGUAUAGGAUCAGCUUGCCCUCCCCAAAUAUCUUAGCUUAGACAUUGGAGGGAAGUCUUUAGGCUAGAGGCAACCUCAGGAGCACUCCAUACUCCUCUACACAAGAUACCUCUUUUUAGUCAGCAUUUCCUUGGGAGAAGAAAAAACUAACUUUUCUAAGCAUUUGAUUCGAUCUGAUAAUGUCUGCAUUUUUUGGGAUGUGUUUUGAAAUGUAACUCUCACCACUAUGAUGCCAUAACCUGUGGGCAUUUGGAUGUGGGCCCUUGGAUUGUGUCUGGGUUUUCUACAAAGCUUGGGAGAACUGCAGUUACCAGAAAGUAUUUUGGAGUAAAUAGAGUAUGUGAAUAUGAUUUGGUCACAUCUUGCUCCUCAUUCUAAGAACCUGCAUAGUCCAGUAUGUAUUAACCUGGCUUGUCCCAUCUGUAUGUUCCCUCUCCCCUCUGUGUUUUUUCACUGUCAUGCCAAACAUGUAUGGCGUGAAAAUGAUAGUCAGAGGAGAUGGCUAAAAUACAUCUGGGACCGGUCUAUCAUCCUCUUUUCAAAGGUCAUAAAGCAGUCAUGUUAUGAUUUACUUAAUAAUUACAUUUCAUUGUUUGUUUACUGUUUACAUAGGAAGAGAAAAUGAGUGUUUAAUGAUAUAGAAUGUUGUAUCAUUCACUGUGUUGUGAGGCACUUCAACUGUAAAUAUAUUUUUGUUUUUUAGGACAGCUAGAUAUUGUGAAGUAAGCUUUUUAACUUAACUUGUAACUUCAAUAAGGCCUUUUUAACUGAAGCUAUUUUUAUGAUGUUUUACCUCAACCGUUUUUGUAUACUUUGCUUUUAUUUUUUUUAUCUGUAAUUAGACGUUUUUAUCCAUGAUUGUAAAUUAUCAUUAAUUUGUGAUAUCAGAUUUUAAUAAAAAUUUCAGUGGCUAAAUA